UAUUGGUUGAUAUUAGAGACCCCGAGUC
rnacentral:sRNA from 1 species